GACGAACGCUGGCGGCGUGCCUAAUACAUGCAAGUAGAACGCAGUUGCGAACGGGUGAGUAACGCGUAGGUAACUGCUUCAUAGCGGGGGAUAACUAUUGGAAACGAUAGCUAAUACCGCAUACUGUGAGAUGGACUUGCGUUGUAUUAGCCAGUUGGUGAGGUAAAGGCUCACCAAGGCGAAGAUACAUAGCAGACCUGAGAUGGGGGUCGGCCACACUGGGACGGAGACACUGCCCAACCUCCUACGGGAGGCAGCAGUAGGGAAUCUUCGGCAAUGGACGGAAGUCGGACCGAGCAACGCCGCGUGAGUGAAGAAGGUUUUCGGAUCUUAAAGCUCUGUUGUUGGAAAAACGGUAACUAACCAGAAAGCGACGGCUAACUACGUGCCAGCAGCCGCGGUAAUUC
rnacentral:rRNA from 1 species